rnacentral:rRNA from 1 species
AACGAACGCUGGCGGCAGGCCUAACACAUGCAAGUCGAGCGCUCACUUCGGUGGGAGCGGCGGACGGGUUAGUAACGCGUGGGAACAUACCCUUUUCUAUGGAAUAGCCUUUGGAAACGAAGAGUAAUACCAUAUACGCCCUUCGGGGAAAGAUUUAUCGGUGAAGGAUUGGCCCGCGUUAGAUUAGAUAGUUGGUGGGGUAAUGGCCUACCAAGUCUACGAUCUAUAGCUGGUUUUAGAGGAUGAUCAGCAACACUGGGACUGAGACACGGCCCAGACUCCUACGGGAGGCAGCAGUGGGGAAUCUUAGACAAUGGGCGAAAGCCUGAUCUAGCCAUGCCGCGUGUGUGAUGAAGGUCUUAGGAUCGUAAAGCACUUUCGCCAGGGAUGAUAAUGACAGUACCUGGUAAAGAAACCCCGGCUAACUCCGUGCCAGCAGCCGCGGUAA